AACGAACGCUGGCUGCAUGCCUAACACAUGCAAGUCGAACGAUACCUUCGGGUCUAGUGGCGCUCGGGUGCGUAACGCGUUGGAAUCUGCCCUUAGGUUCGUAAUAACUCUCCGAAGUGGGUGCUAAUACCGGAUAAUGUCUUCGGACCAAAGAUUUAUCGCCUUUGGAUGGGCCCGCGUUGGAUUAGCUAGUUGGUAGGGUAAAAGCCUACCAAGGCGACGAUCCAUAGAUGGUCUGAGAGGAUGAUCAGCCACACUGGGACUGAGACACGGCCCAGACUCCUACGGGAGGCAGCAGUGGGGAAUAUUGGACAAUGGGCGAAAGCCUGAUCCAGCAAUGCCGCGUGAGUGAUGAAGGCCUUAGGGUUGUAAAGCUCUUUUACCCGGGAUGAUAAUGACAGUACCGGGAGAAUAAGCUCCGGCUAACUCCGUG
rnacentral:rRNA from 1 species